CCUACGGGGGGCAGCAGUGAGGAAUAUUGGUCAAUGGGCGCGAGCCUGAACCAGCCAAGUAGCGUGAAGGAUGACUGCCCUACGGGCUGUAAACUCCUUUUAUAAAGGAAUAAAGUGAGGCUCGUGUGCCUCCUUGAAUGUACUUUAUGUACAAGGAUAGGCUAACGUCGUGCCAGCAGCCGCGGUAAUACGGAGGAUCGGAGCGUUACCCGGAUUUAUUGGGUUUAGAGGGAGCGUAGAGGGGUUGUUAAGUCAGUUGUGAAAGUUUGCGGCUCAACCGGAGAAUUGCAUUUGAUACUGGCAGUCUUGAGUGCAGUUGAGGUAAGCGGAAUUCGAGGUGUAGCGGUGAAAUGCUUAGAUAUCACGAAGAACACCGGUGGCGAAGGCGGCUUACUGGACUGCCACUGACGUUGAUGCUCGAAAGUGUGGGUAUCAAACAGGAUUAGAUACCCCAGUAGUC
rnacentral:rRNA from 1 species